rnacentral:rRNA from 1 species
AUUGAACGCUGGCGGCAUGCCUUACACAUGCAAGUCGAACGGUAACAGGUCUUCGGAUGCUGACGAGUGGCGAACGGGUGAGUAAUACAUCGGAACGUGCCUAGUAGUGGGGGAUAACUACUGGAAAGAGUGGCUAAUACCGCAUGAGAUCUAAGGAUGAAAGCAGGGGAUCGCAAGACCUUGUGCUACUAGAGCGGCCGAUGGCAGAUUAGGUAGUUGGUGGGAUAAAAGCUUACCAAGCCGACGAUCUGUAGCUGGUCUGAGAGGACGAUCAGCCACACUGGGACUGAGACACGGCCCAGACUCCUACGGGAGGCAGCAGUGGGGAAUUUUGGACAAUGGGCGCAAGCCUGAUCCAGCAAUGCCGCGUGCAGGAUGAAGGCCUUCGGGUUGUAAACUGCUUUUGUACGGAACGAAAAGCCCUGGGUUAAUACCCUGGGGUCAUGACGGUACCGUAAGAAUAAGCACCGGCUAACUACGUGCCAGCCGCCGCAGUAAUAC